CGGUAAUUCCAGCUCCAAUAGCGUAUACUAAAGUUGUUGCAGUUAAAAAGCUCGUAGUUGGAUUUCUGCGGGGACGGAGCGGCCGGUCGCAACUUGCGACUCGAGCUAGCGCUUUCCCCGCAUCCUGCCGCGAACCGUGCUACCAUUAGCUUGGUGGCGCUGGGGAUCGGCUCGAUUACUUUGAGAAAAAUAGAGUGUUCAAAGCAGGCCACACGCCUUGAAUAAGUUAGCAUGGAAUAAUGACUAAGGACUUUGGUUCUUUUCGUUGGUGUUCGGGACUGAAGUAAUGAUUGAUAGGGACAGUUGGGGCGGUCCGUAUUCCAAAGCGAGAGGUGAAAUUCUUAGACCUUCGGAAGACGAACAGCUGCGAAAGCGUUCCGCAAGGAUGUUCCCUUUGAUCAAGAACGAAAGUUGGGGGAUCGAAGACGAUCAGAUACCGUCGUAGUCUCAACUAUAAACUAUACCAGCUAGGGAUCGGCCAACGUUUAAUUUAUCGACUUGGUCGGCACCUUAUGAGAAAUCAAAGCAUCUGGGUUCCGGGGGGAGUAUGGUCGCAAGGCUGAAACUUAAAGGAAUUGACGGAAGGGCACCACCAGCCGUGGAGCCUGUGGCUUAAUUUGACUCAACACGGGAAAACUUACCAGGUCCAGACAUAGGAAGGAUUGACAGAUUGAUAGCUCUUUCUUGAUUCUGUGGGUGGUGGUGCAUGGCCGUUUUUAGUCGGUGGAUGUGAUCUGUCUGCUUAAUUGCGUUAACGGACGAGACCCCAGCCUGCUAAAUAGCGCGGCCGAGCUUUGCUCGGUGCGAGCUUCUUAGGGGGACCAUGAUGCGCGAUAGCACAAGGAAGUUUGGGGCAACAACAGGUCUGUGAUGCCCUUAGAUGUUCUGGGCCGCACACGGGCUACACUGGCGCCUGCAACGAGCAUAUCAGCUGGCCCGAGAGGGUCUUGGCUAAUCUUUGGAACCGGCGCCGUGCUUGGGAUUGACCAUUGCAAUUGUUGGUCAUGCAACGAGGAAUGCCUUGUAAACGCGAGUCAUCAGCUCGCAUUGAAUACGUCCCUGCCCUUUGUACACACCGCCCGUCGCUCCUACCGAUGAAUGUUCCGAUGAAAUUUUCGGAGAGCACCAGAGAACGGGGCUCUGCCUUGCAGAUCUGGAGGCUCAAAGUCACUUAAAUCUGAACAUUUCGAGGAAGGAGAAGUCGUAACAAGGUAACC
rnacentral:rRNA from 1 species